UUCCUUUCUAUGGCACCCACCGUCACAAAGGGCACCCAUUGCCACAUGCCCUGGGGCCUCCCCCAGCCCAUCCAACCUGCCCUGCUCUGGGGGCAGCUCUGAAGGAGCUCUACAGGAUCCUGACCCCACUGGGACACAUGACUGGCAGAGUUUUCUUACCCUCCAUAACCAUUGGGGGACAUACAGGAGCCUCAAAAUCAGUGUUCUGCCUUAACAGAUUCCAAAGGGAUGAGAGGCCUGUGUGGAGGUUGCAGUCUGACCCUUUGGGAUUAAAAGAAAACCCUGAAGGAGGAGACUGAGGGGAAACCUCAACGGGGUCUGAAUCCUCUCCCCAUAAGGAACAGUGGAGAGACAGCUCCCAUCUCUGCUCUCUGUGACCAGUGGCAGCAUCCAAGUGAAUGCCUGGAGCUGAGCCAGGGGAGGUUGAGGCUGGAUAUCAGGAAAAGGUUCUUCCCCCAGAGGGUGCUGGGCCGCUGCACAGGCUCCCCAUGCAAUGGGCACGGCCCCAAGGCUGCCAGAGCUCCAGGAGAGCUUGGACAGUGCUGCCAGGGAUGCACAGGCUCGGAUUGUUGGGGUCUGUGUUCAGGGCCAUCCUCAAAACAACACAUCCCCACAAUCCACCUUCCUUUGAAUGAACAUGAUCUCUCCAUCAAGAAACUCAUGUUCAUGGCCACUGCCUCUCCAGCAACACACCCUGGCUUUUCAGUCUUACUAAAAUUCACAGAAAGCUUU